ensembl:lncRNA
AACAGCCACUUUGCCUGACGCGAUUUGCUGCCACGUGCUCCUGUACUUACUGUUUCGUAGUAUUCAGCAUGCAGGAUACAAUGAGAAGUUAGGAGUCUGCACCCUAGAAGAGGGCUCUUACCAGAACCGGACCAUGCUGGCACCCUGAUCUUGGACCUCCAGCCUCCAGACCUGUGUGAAAGCCCCCGCUCACCAGCCUGCCUUCGCUUGACAAAUGAUGAAGAUAAUGAAAGUGAAGGUGCAGAGCGGAACGGCCAAGACAGUCUGGGCACGUCUCUCAUCACCACCUGUUUGAGAAGUCUGCAUUCCUAGGUCCUUCUGUUUGAGACUCUACUGAGAGGCUUCAGGCUGCACUGUGCACAACCUCUUACGGUCAGGCCCUGCAAGCUUAUGCUGCUUCACCUUCCCUUUGCAUACCGUGGAGGAAAAAUCAUAAUGCUCACUGUGGGCCAAAGCCUUUGUUAUGCUCAGGGCUUCGGAAGAUUGGAUUACUACAACACUACGGAAGAGAAAACUGAGGUUCACAGAGGCUAGCAACUCUCCAAGGCCCCACAGCAGAUAUCUCAUCUAGUCGGAACUUGCUCCUAGGCCUGUCUGGCUCUCAGCUGCCACACCACGCUGCCUCCCUUGAGGAAAGGAUGGUUGAUGUGGGAUAUGUUGGAACAAUGCAGCCUCCUGAAAUCAGCUUUGCCUUUAAAGACAGAAGUGACAGGGGCCAAAGAGUGCACAGGACUGGCUGGACAGGGUUAGGAGUCACAUGUGUCAGGUCCUAGUUGGACUGGACCACUCCCUGACCACAAGAGCUCUAGACAACCACUGGAACUUUCUGAGCUCACGUCCUCAUCUGGAAAUGGAGCAAACACCCUCUGCCCUUUCCACUUUACAGGAUGAUUCUGAAGGAGGUAACCAUUUCCACGUGUUUCUCCCGUGUGUGCGUGAGAGAGAGAUACUGUGAUCUUGUAAGUGGCCAGGAGCUUUCAUCACUGAUUCCUCCUCUGCACCGACUCGCUCAGGAGCCCUCAGUUCACCUUGGAUGUGUUUUUGUUCUGUGGCAAGAGAAUCACAUGUGUAUACACACGCGUCUGCCAUUUUCACCAGGAAAUGUGACCGGAGUUCUUAAAAAUUCUGUCUCAAUGAGUUUUUACUCAUCUCUCCUGAGAACUCACCCACCUGAUAGAAUUUUAAGCUUUAAAAGGUACUUCCUGUGAUUAUUCACUCAUUGAGGCAGAGGAGACUGAUGCCAAGAUGUGAUGGAACUGGGAGGUGGAGGGAACUGAGUGACGGUAGAUGAGGCUGGGAGAUGAGCCACCUGGGUCUGACACUAAGUCAGUUACUAGGCCCUUGAGCAAAUUUAUAAACCAAUCAAAGCCUCAGUUUUUUAGUCUGUGAAAUGGACUUAGUAUCUGCAUGUUAAUGUGGAGUUACAGUUAACGAAAUAAUGUAUUGACAAGCGCCAAGGUCAAUGCCUGGCGUGCACAAAAAGUCCAGUAGGUGUUGGUUGAAUCAGAGCAUCUUUCUUUGGAGUAAUUUGAAGUUCCCUGCUGAACUCAGGUUGACCAAAAGAAGACAUAGGCUGACAGAACAGCAACCAGGGCGACUGCAUUCACUUCGUGAGCCCGACUUCACUCUCUGCAUUUGAGAGAAAAUCACUACUGCACACCGUUCUUGUAGGACUGAACUGUGAUGACAUUCACUAAGGUAAAAACACAGUGCCUGGCUUUUACUGUGCGUUCAGUCAGUUUUGCAAAGGAUGAUAGUUUCGGUGAUUAUCAGGAGCCCAAUAUAACCUUUUUGGAUAAUAGACAGUACAUACAUCUACGGCAUCAUAGAGAUUGUUGGCUUCUCUAGAUGACACUGAAAAUGGUUCACAGUCUUACCCCCUGCCUCUUACUGUGGCUUUGUACACUUUGGUGCUAAAGGUCUUUUAGGCUGGACGAAAUCCCCAGACUUCUUAGCAUGGGUGAGAAGUUGCUUGUGUAUACUCUGCAACAAGAAAAGGGAAUGGAACGAGGUUGGGAGAGCCCAUGAGGGAGGCUAUUCAGAGCUUUGCCUUACCACCUCCCAGAAACCUUACCACACUUCUUUGCUAGAUUCAGAUGCAAAAUAAAGUUGUUAAAUGGAACAGGAAAAUGUCCUCAUCAUUUUUUGCGCUGAAGUCCAUGAUAUUUACCUUCAGAUCUGGAUACACGGAAGGCCGCCUCCUCAGCUGCUAAUGGGAGUCAUGCUGGAGGGACAGCGAGCAGCCGCCUCUGACAUUUAGAGAACUAGACCAGAUGCUUUUAGUAUAUUAAAAUCAGAUUUUUGAUUUAUAUUUAUGUAUGUUAUUAUCCUCUUUUUUCCUCUUAAUUUUGUUCUUUGUAUUUAUACAGCUGCAUUGUGCUCUGACCACGGUCACUGUGAUUAGCAAUAUUUAUUUAAAAUUAGGGAAUAUUUGGCUGUGAUUUCAUUUCCCCCUAUUUUCAGCUGCCAUCGAGUCAAAGGCCCUAGUGAUGUAGGCGGCCCAGGAAGAGGAUUGAACCCACGAGCGCUUGCUCAUUUGAGUAAGACUCUGCUCUCUAUUACUACUUCAAAAAGCGAACUUCCUGUUCUCUAGGGUUUGUGUCUGCAGGUGUGGAGGUAGCCUUUCUCCCUGCCCACUCCUUCACCCAGGGCAAGGACAGCCAUCACCAAACCCUUGAAGUCUUCAGAAACUCCAUCGUGGGAGGGGUGGGUCUUCUCCUGCUAGUCCACCCAUUCUGAUAAAGAAUUUCAAGGAAGAGCUUUCCCUGCUGCCUUUCCAGGGUCAGAUGACACUUGAGCGUCACGAGUGAGGUCUUAUCAUCUCCAAGGUGACAAGUUGGGAUGAAAUAUUCACCGGGCAGCUUUUGGAUGGCUUUCUAAUCACUUCUGGCUUGACACUUUGGAAAAUUAAAAAAUAAGAGGAGUUUCUUUUCAGGUUGAACAUUUACAGCCUUGCCAAAUUAUCCUGUUUCUGCUUCUGGCUUCCAAUAACAGCAGGCUUUGAUGUCAAAUGUCCACAGCGUGCUUGGGGCAUGAGUGUGGUCUGUCUCCUGUGACCAGGGGUCCCUGAGGCCCCCGGGUGGACUCUCUGAGACCUGGGCACAGGGCUCCCUUUGCGCUUCUUUCCUUUGGGGCAAUGAUUAGGUAUGUGGGUGAAUCAAUUUGGGCUGCUAGCCUGGGGUUGUUAAAAAGCAGGUGUUGAUCAUGGGAGUAAUUACCAAGGACUGCAUACCCCAAAUGAUUUACAAUCUGAGAUCUAAAGCAAAAAAUGAGUUCUCACACCUCAGAUCUGCUGCUUCGCUCCUUCUGCCUCAAACGUGCUGCCGAUGAUGAAUGCACCUCAAGUGCCUCACCUGCCGGGAGGCGUUCUGCCGCCUGGCCGGCCGUCAGGUAUCUCUCAUGAUCUACACAUAUGGCAGGCGCCACGUACUAAAUCCACACAAAGGGCCAUCCCCACCCUUCCCCAGCUCACAGUUUAUAAUGCUCAGUCUGAAAUGACCUUUAAAAAGCCAGAUAAUAUUUUAUUUACCUUUUUUCUUCCAUUUACUGUUAAAUGUUAAUGAAGGUAAGAGAUUCAAAUUCCUGCUAAUAAAACACUUUAAUUGACUCAAGUGUAACCAUAACUGUAAAUUGGCUACUUUGUACGAACGACCUUAGCGCUCCCUGCCCCCGACUCUCCCGCCCGUGCAAUUUUGGAAGUUGGCAGCAAACACAGGCUUUGUUCUUCCUGGGCUUCAUGCGCAGCCCCCCAACUCUCUGCUCCAAGACAGGCAAGCAGGAGCCACUUUGGAGCUCUCCUUUCUGUGGCAUUAACUACCCUUCACCCCUCCCACAGGCUCCCUCUAUUGAAAUCCUUCAGAUUCAAGGCCCAUUGUAAGCACCACCUCCUCCAGGAAGCCCAGUUCCCUCUCAUCUGCCUCCAAAGAGCCACAGCAUUUUGAGACUUUCCUUGUGAUGGUUCUCACUUUGCCUUUUGUUAUAGUAACUUCUGCAGCUGUCUUAUCUCCUUACUUGUUAGAAACCCGAUGCAUGGUCAGUGCUCAGCAAUAUCUAUUAAGUUGAAUUAACUGAUUUUUCUUCAAAAGAUUGGCACCUGAGCUAACAUCUGUUGCCAAUCUUCUUCUUCUCCCCAGAGCGCACCCAGUACAUAGUUGUAUAUUCUAGUUGUAGGUCCUUCUGGUUGUGGCAUGUGGGACGCUGCCUCAGCAUGGCCUGAUGAGCGGUGCCAUGUCUGCACCAGGAUCCGAACUGGUGAAACCCUGAGCCGCCGAAGCGGAGCGUGUGAACUUAACCACUCGGCCACUGGGCGGCCCCCCAGAAAAAAAUUUUUGUUGCCCUGUGCCAUACCAAUUCUCUAGGGCAUUCGCAAAACCAUUUAUUAAAUGCUCUUUGCCUGGAUUUCUUAGGCAAGUCCGCUCACUAUUCAAAACUUGUAAUAACUUGCUGCUUUAGAGAAAGAAUUUCAAAAAAGAAGAAAAUCUACACCUUGUAGUUAAAAAAAAAAAGUGAGAGGAGCCUCUGUAUGAUCUUAUGCAGGCUGAUGUGGUGUGGUCAGAGAAAGAACAGGCCAGGGGUUCUCUUUCUCUGGCUGCACCUCUAAGGGCAGAGGCUGCAAGCUUAGCUAUUCCUUUGCUCAGCGGAGCUCUGGUGGACCGCGCCCUCCCAGCACGUCAUCUGGACCAUAGUUGGGUGCGUCUGCAAUCCUCUUCCAACUCCAGACAGCUGCUGCUUUGAGGUGGUAGAUGGUCCGGCUCCUGGACAGCAGCAUCUGUCUCCAGUGAGCUCUGGGCUGCUGGUGGAAGAGGUGGCUUCAGCCAACGACAGUACCUAUGGAAUAUGUCAAUCCUAGAGCUAAACAAAGAUGUUCUGCUGCUGAGAGCGAAUACGUCCUUUGUUUCUCCAUUCACAGGAAAACAAAAAUGAAUGAAUAGUGUUUCCUCAACUUUAGGUUUUCCUCCCAUAAAUUCUACUUAUUCUGUCUGCUCCUACUUCCACUUAAUUAGCAAUGACUGUGACUCUCAACCCUCCCUCACUAGGGGGGAUGUUUGCAACCA